CCCCCGUCCCUCCCCCUCUUUGAUUCUUCAUUCUUUUUCCUUUACUAUUAAGUUGAAAAUCUUUUGUUAUAUUUAUUUUCUACUUUUCAUUCAUCUUCUGAUAUUGCUUUUAUCACUAACAUAUUUUAUGGUGUCAUAUUUCUGCCCCCAAAUGGCAAGGACUCUAUAUUGUGAACAUUAUAUUUAUGUUUAUAUUUGCAAAUAUAGUUAUCUUUCUUAAUUUAUUUCUACUUUAUCUUUUAUUGAGUAUUUUAAAUACUCAUUUAAAAUUUUAAAAUGUGUUUCUUUUUAUAAGCCUUACUAUUUAACUGAGAAAUUAUGCUUUUAAAUUUUUCAGUGGUUUAUUCAUGGAUUGGGAGCAUGCAGAGGCCUGACUGAACAGGGGUACCAUGAGUCACGUGCUAAGGUCAGAGGACAACUUGCAGGAGUGCGCUCUCUCCUUCCACCACAUGACUCCCAAGGAUCAGACUUGGAUCACUAACCUUGGGAGUUUAUCCUCUAAGCCAUUUUGCCAGCCCCAGAAUUAUAUUUUUAAAUGUAGGAUUACAGUGAAUAGCCAGGCUUGGGUUGCAUACCUUCCAUCCCAGAACUUAGGAGACAAAGGUAGACAGAUCUCUGUGAGUUUGAGACCAACUUUGCAUACUGAGCAAGUUCCAGGCCAGCCUAGUCUACAUUGUGAGACCCUGUCUUAAACAAAUACCAACACCUCAAAAAAAAGAAUACAGUGAAUGGUAAAACAGAUUUCCUUUCCUAAAUUGUAGCUCUAGCAACUUCAGAGGCUCACUGGAUCAUUUAGAGGUAAUUUGGUUUACUUAUUAUCUGCCCUCCUGUAAGUAGUUUAAGAUUUCUCUUAAGUUACAAUCUAACAAUGUUCUAACUGGAACGCAACUGCAGUUCAACCCUAGUCUAAGAGUUGGCUCACACACAGCAAGAGAUUUUCCCAUCGUGCUUUUCAGAACCUAUGCAAAUUCUAGAUGCUCAAAGAAGGCACCCCAACUCUGAAGCCUCCAACCCUAGAAAACUACACCAGGAUUUAGAACACUUCCCACAAAAUUGCAGUAUAAUAAUCAUGAGCAGGUCUGUCCCACCUUGCACUGGGACUUGAACAGCGAUUAGCAAUUGUUACUGUUUUAGAUAAUACCACCAUGGCUACUGUUUUAUUAGAAUAUUUUCCUUUUUUUGAAAGUUUAUUUUGAAUUUUUUUUAAAAGGGGUACUAUUGGAGCAAAAAGGAGUUAUGCAACUUUUAUUGCUUAGUGCUGUAUUAUUCUCCAAGUGGAGAACACCAUUAAUCUUGUGCAUUCACCCUGUCCCAACCUUAUCAGUUUGGACUUUGUAGCUGUUAAUAUUGCUUGUCAGCUUCACAGAAUUCAUAGUCGCCAAGGAGACGAGCCUUUGUGCCUGCUCUGCCUGCUCCUGAGGGGUUGUUGAGAUUACAUUAACUGAGUUGGGUGGAUUCACCUAACUAACAUACACUAUUCUCUGUACUUGCCUAGCUCCUGCAUUCAGUGCUUUCUGCUUCCUGACUACAGUGUGAGGAGCCGCCCCACACUCCUGCUGGCAUGAAGAGGCCACAAUGCUGGGCUGUAGCUUUGAGCUAUCAAGAUGCAGCUUUCAAUGAUUUCUUCAGCAUCAUGCCUGCCUAGAGGACAUCAUGCUCCCCACCAUUGAUGAUAAUGGUCUAAACCUCUGAAAUUAUAUACAAUGAACGUCUUCCCAAGCACCUUCCUGACUGAUCCUCCCAUUUCUUGGGGAGCAAAUCGUCUACUGGUUGAGUUUCAUUCUUGUUCUUCUACAGUAUUAUGAACAGAGCAACAGCGAACAGCUACAAUAAAAACUUUAAAUCUUAGAAAAAGGAAGAUUGUGGAAGUCAUUAGAAGAUGUGAAGAACUUCCAUGCCCAUGGAAUAGUAGAAUUGAUGUUGUGAAAAUGACCAUCAUAUGAAAAGCAAUCUACAGAGUCAGUGCAAUCUCAGUUAAAAUCCUCACAACAUUCUUUACAGUAGUAAAUUUAAAACCCCAAAAUUCAUGUGGAACCACAAAAGACCCUGAAUAAUCAAAGCAAUUCUGAGCAAAAAGAAAAUGUUGGCUGGAUUAUCAUACCAGAUUUCAAGUUAUAUUACAGAACCAUAGAAUUUUUUUUUAAAGCAUGGUUCUGGAACAACAACAAAAAUGGACUUGUAGAUCAGUGGAACAAAACAAAAGAGCCUGUCUUAAGUGCACAUAAUUACAGCCACCUGAAAUUCAACAAAGGCAGAAAAAACAUGCACUCCAGGAAAGGCAGCAUCUCCAACAAAUCUCCAACAAAUGCUUUUGGGAAAACUGAAUGUCCACAUGUAAAAGAGUGAAAUUAGAUCAAGAUCUAUGACCCUGUACAACAAAAAGAAAGAGAGAGAAAGACGUAAAGAAAGAAAGAAAGAAAGAAAGAAAGAAAGAAAGAAAGAAAAGAAAAGAAAGGAAAGGAAGGAAGAAAGAAAGGAAAUCAAUUACAUUGGCUCAAAGACCUCAGUGUGAAACCCGAAACUCUGAAAACAUAGGCAGUGCCCUACAAGAUAGGGGUUCGGGAAGGUGCUUUCUGAAUAGGCUUCCACUUUCUCAGUAAUUAAGGCAAACAAAUGGCCUUUGUAUUCGUAUAGCAAAGAAGCAAUGUAGUGAAGGGAUGGCUUACAGAAAAGGAGAGAGAAUUUUUGCCAUCUAUUUAUCCAAUUGAAGAUAGAUAUCCAGAAAAAAACCAACUUAAAAAACAAAGAGUCAAGAAAAACAAAGGAACCAACCAAAAAUGUGGCUACUGAUCUGAACAUGGAGUUCUUGAAAGAAGAAAUGAGAUGAAGAAUAUCUCAAAGUGUUUGACAUCCCUAGCAAUUAGGGAAAUGUCAAUUAAAGCUAUUUUGAGAUUUCAUAUUACUCUGGUCAGAGUGGCUGAGAUCAAGGAAACAACUGGCAACCACCCUUAGCAGUGAUGUGCGGAAAGUGGAAGCCUCAGGGACGGUUGGUCAGGGUGCGAAUUGUCGCAGCCUCUAUGGAAAUCAGUGUGGACCAUUCUUACAAUGCUAAAAGCACAGUGAUACCAUUCGUUGGCAUAUACUCAAAGGCUAGGUUUCCUGCUACAGUCACUGUGAAUGUCGCACAAUUAUCAAUUUCCACAACUUUUUAUCACUCUAAACAGAAACUCUAUGAAAACAAAAACUUCCCAUUUCCUCGUGUUACUGACACCUGGAAACCUCUAUAUUAUUUUCUAUCUCUAUCGAUUUGCCUGCUGUAGAUAUUUCAUAUAAAUAGAAUCAUAUGGUUUUUUUUGUAUUUCAUAUAAGUAGAAUCAUAGGAUAUUUUUCUUUUUGUGCCCGGCUCAUUUCCUUUAGCAACAUGCCUUCUAGGUUCACCCAUGUUAUAAUAGCAGACAGCCUGCAUUUAAAGGCAGAUUCCCUUGUAUGUGUCUGAGCCACAUUCUGUUUAUCCAUUCACCUAGUAGGUUGUUUUUGGCUCUCAGCUAUUAUAAAUAUUGCAACAAUGAACUUCAGUGGGCAAAUAUCUCUUUUUAGUUCCUCGGAGGAAUCGAAUUUUGGAACCUAUGGUAAAUUUUGUGUUUAAUGUUUUGCAGAAACAUUACACACACACACACACACACACACACACACACACACACACACACACACACGUACCAACACCAUUUUACAUUCCAACUAGCAAACCACAGGCUUCUCUGUUUCUCCAUGUCCUUGCCAAUCUUAGUAGUUUCCAUUUUGUGAAUGCUAGCCAUCCUAAUGAGUGUAAAGUGGUAUUUCACUGUGGCACUGACUUACUUGGAAUUCCUCAGUAGCUAACAACUGUGAGUAUUUUAAUGUGUUUGCACACUGUCUACAUUUACAUCUAUUCUUUGGUGGAAUAUUUAAGUCGUUUGUUCAUUUUUCAGUUGGGUUGUUCUUUGUUGUUGCUAAGUUACAGGUCUUUAUACAGUCUAAGCACCAAUCCCUUCAUAUGGUAUGGAUUCCAGGUAUUUUCUCCUAUUCUGAGAAUUGUCUUUGCAUUUUUCACAGUACCCAUAUAUACUACUUUUGGCCCAGAUGUCUUAGUAUCAUGAAGAGUGAACCAAAAACUAACAUCAAGUAUGUGAUAAAUUAUUCCACGUGUGAAAAUAUCCUUGUAGAAUGUCCCCAUAAGAUUAAAAUAUAUAUAAUUUUAGAAAUCAUACAAGUAACUCUUCUGGACAAGGAGCACUGAUACACUGAAGAAGUCAUGAAGAUGAUGAUAGAUAUGGAACUGAAAGAGUUAACAUGAUUUGUGAGAAUAUAGUCUGUUCUCAGAGGGUGAUGUAUGCAGGUAAAGGAGGACAUAAUAUGUGCAUAAUUGUCUUUUGUAUAGCUGUUUUCCCUUUUCCAACUAACAAGCAGUGUAGAAAGGCAGUGGGGUAAUAAUGAUAAUGGAAUGCAGAUCUGGCAGUCUUUGGAGUUCCAGUGUUGACAGAGUAUUUAUCUUGACAGACCUCUGCUUAGCUAUCAACCAUGUGAGUCUUGCUUUAGGUGUUUCAAAGUCUAGAAGAAAACCUCAGAACCAAGCAAGGCAUAGGCGGGAACACAUUAUGUGUUGGGUAUAUAAUUUUAGUGUGUGUAAGAGUCAAGUGCCCAGAGAGCUAACAAGAAGGUUCCAUGCCUCAGUCUUCAGAGAUGGAGUGGAAUGUCUGGGAAGCUGCCAAGCAUUUGAUUUUGUGACAAGAAUUCUUUGUGACUCUGAAUUCAAUGGCCCAUGGAACACAGUGUAAGAAAUUCUGCUGGGUCCUUUAGUUUACCCAGAAACCUUCCAUACAUUGUAUCAAGACGGUAUAACAUUAUACCAUUCAGUUAAUGAGAAGAAACAGUUUUCAAUAACAUGGUAAACAUAAAUGACAAUACAUGAAGUCAGUUAUGUAAAUCGG